AUAUAACUUCUUUCUUAAAGGCAAUCUCAACGUCUUCUGAGCGAUGGAUAUGAGCUGUGCAUGAUUUAUAGGGAAUUGGAACCUCAUCCUUGUCCUUUUGAACCUCAUCAUGAAGUCUUUAGUGGACUCAUGCUCAUACUGCUUGACUUCAACCAGAUUGCUGAUAGUCAUCUUAGGCUCGACCUUGUAAAACUGCUCAUGGAAUGCCAUCUCCAUUUGCCCCCAGUUGGCAAUAAAAUUAGAGGGCAACAAAGAAUACCACUGAGAUGCUAAGCCUACCAAGGAGUUUCCAAACAAUCUCAACUUGCAGUUGGGAUUGUCUUUAAAUGCCACACAGUGAUUAGAGAACUUGAAAAUGUGAUCUCUAGAAGACACAUUGUUGUAUUCUUUGUUGAAUGUUGGGAACGCGGCAUCUUGAAGUUGACUGGAAAUGGGUUCUGCUAGUCAAUGUACUUGGGAUAGAGCUUCUGAUAGGUGAUCCUAAACAGAGGGUGAGCUUAUGGCUGAGCAUUCCGAGCCACCAUCUUCCUCAACUCGGCUAAUU
rnacentral:lncRNA from 1 species